UACGUAGGGUGCAAGCGUUAAUCGGAAUUACUGGGCGUAAAGCGUGCGCAGGCGGCUUUGCAAGUCAGAUGUGAAAUCCCCGGGCUUAACCUGGGAACUGCAUUUGUGACUGCAUGGCUAGAGUGCGGCAGAGGGGGAUGGAAUUCCGCGUGUAGCAGUGAAAUGCGUAGAUAUCGGGAGGAACACCUGAGGCGAAGGCGGGCUACUGGGCCGAUACUGACGCUGAUGUGCGAAAGCCAGGGGAGCGAACGGG
rnacentral:rRNA from 1 species